AUUGAACGCUGGCGGCAGGCUUAAUACAUGCAAGUCGAGCGAGCCGCGGACGGGUGAGUCAUGUCUGUGAAACUGCCUGAUGGAGGGGGAUAACUACUGGAACCGUUAGCUAAUACCGCUUACCAUCAGUUGUACCCAGAUGGGAUUAGCUUUUAGGUGGGGUAAUGGCUCACCUAGGCGACGAUCCCUAUCUGGUCUGAGAGGAGGACCAGCCACACUGGGACUGAGACACGGGCCAGACGCCUACGGGAGGAAGCAGUGGGGAAUAUUGAACAAUGGGCGCAAGCCUGAUGCAGCAAUGCCGCGUGUAUGAAGAAGGCCUUCGGGUUGUAAAGCACUUUCAGCGAGGAGGCGUUACUCGCAGAAGAAGCACCGGCUAACUCCGUGCCAGCAGCCGCGGUAAUUC
rnacentral:rRNA from 1 species